CAAGAUGGGGAUUCAGCACGAUGGCCAGGCUGGUCUUGAACUCCUGACCUCGGGUGAUCCACCAACCUCGGCCUCCCAAAGUGCUAGGAUUACAGGUGUGAGCCACCGUGCCCGGCAUAAGAUUUUUCAGGAAAAAGUAUGUCGUCCUAGUGAAGGCGGGCAGCGGCAGGCCAGGGUCCUGGAGCCCCGGCCUGGGAUGCUGGCCUGCGGCCGCACCCAGCUCCCCAGCACGCCCCGCCCGGCUGGCCGCUUGCAGCCCCGAAGGUCAGGGCGCUUUGUCUGCGCCGCAGGCCGCUUCCAGAGCAGCCCCGCAGAGGAGGCGCAGCCGUGAAGGAGAAGGCGGGUAGAGGCCUUGGCCACUCAAAUCUCCCGCUCGCCCAGCCUACCCGGCGUGCCAGGGCGUGGUGGUUACACGGCUGGGCGUGCCCGGAGCGGUCAGACUUCCCGUUUUUAAGGUGGAGACGUCCAGGACCUCUUUAUUAGAUGUUUAGGAAUUUGAGUUUUUACGUCAGGCGGUAGUCAACAUGCGCCCCUGUGGGGCAGGCUGGGCUAACUGGGGUUUCGAUUUUAAGUUUCCUAUGGCCAAGGGCAUGUCUGAAGGGGAAGAACGUUCUUGGUGUUGCUUCUUAGUUGUUGGGAGCUGUGAGGUGCGAGAGAGAUGGGCGGCGUGCGCUCCCGAGGACUGGCCUCAGUGAGCUUGGACUAGUUACUCACGGGACUUGGUUUACCAGCCAAGGAGAUAAAGACAUUCAGAUGGUGGAUAACACUCUUUCAGAUGGGGUUCCUUCAGAUUCCAUGGAAGGUGCUAAAAAUGCAAGUAAUACAGAAAAGCUCACAGAUCAUGUGAUGCAGAAUCCUUGAGUUAGGGCCGCUUUACAGGAACGACUUGACUAUGCCCCUUACACCCCUUCCAGCUACAUCGAAACUUUACCUAAAGCAGUAAAAAGAAGAAUUAAUGCAUUGAAACAACUUCAGGUGAGAUGUGCCCUCGUGGAAGCCAAGUUCUAUGAAAAAGAUCGUGACUUAGAAAGAAAGUGUGCAGCAUUAUACCAGCCUCUCUUUGACAAGGGAAGAGAAUUUAUCAUCCGCGAUGCUGAACCGACAGAUGCGGAAUCAGAAUCGCACAGUGAAAAUGAAGAGGAAGAGAAAUUGGUAGGAGACAUGAAAGGCAAAGCAGUCCUAACAGAAGCAGCAGCAGUAACAGCUGAAUAGCCAAAUCCCAAAGGCGUUCUAGAGUUCUGGUUUACCAUCUUUAGAAAUGUAGCUAUGCUAAGUGAAUUAGUUCAGGAAUAUGAUGAACUAAUCUUCAAAAACCCGCAGGAUAUUAAAGUAAAGUUUUCUGACCCUGGACAGCCUGUCUUUUGUGUGAGAGUUCCACUUUGAACCCAACGACUACUUCACCAGCUCAGUCCUGACAGAAACCUACAAGAUGAAAUCAGAACCAGAUAAGGCUGAUCCCUUUUCCCUCGAAUGUCCUGAGAUCGUGAACUGACAGGUGUAGUAUUGCUGGAAGAAAGGAAAGCAUGUUACUGUCAAAACUGUCAAGAAAAAGCAGAAACAUAGGCGUCGAGGCACUGUUAGAACAAUUACAAAACAAGUACCCAAUGAAUCAUUUUUCAGCUUCGUCAAUCCACUGAAAGCAUCUGGGGAUGGAGAAUCACUGCAUAAAGGUUCUGGAUUCACAUCAGCCUCUGAUUUUGAAAUUGGACACUUUUUCUGUGAGCCAGUGGAUAGUCCCAUGGGCUGUGCUGUACUUCACUGGGGACGCCAUAGAGGAUGAUGACAGUCUUGAAGAAGGUGAAAAGAGGAGGAAUUAGGAGGUGACAAGGGGGGAGAAGAUGAGGAUGAUGCGGGAAUUAACCCCAAGAAGGAACCCAGCUAGCCGGUGGAAUGCAAGCAGCGGUAGGAAGCGAAGGCGGGCGCCUGGCCUACCGGCUACUGGGACUCCAGGCCUGUGGGCGGGGCUUGGUGUGGGCGGGGCCUCGGUCCUUGCCGCAUCAACAGCUCUUCCAUCUAACAAGUUUUCAAGGGCAAGAUUUUCACUUUCACUUUUUCUUUUUCCUUAUUAUUUUGCUUAACUUGUACAGUGCCACUGAAAUAUGUUUCAGAAAUGGGAGUUUUCAUCCAGCACCCUCUGCUGCCUUGGUGCCGGUAGCUCUGGACUUGCCUGGGCCUUCCCCUGUGGGAGGGCCCAUAGACCACAUCGGGGUGGGAUAGGGGUCACUUGGCAAAAAGGACCGAAGUCUGGUGAUGUGGUUCCAGGAAUCUAGAACCUCUCCUACCACUCCUGCAUUUGGACUGAUUUCUUCCCUUUCAUUUGAAGAAACCGACUCAUCUGUUUCCAGCCUGCGUCACCUGUUGGAUGCUAAUCAUCUCAGAAGGGCUGUGUGGAGUAGGGCCGUGUUCUUAGGACGGUGCUUCUUGAUUUUCUCUUUUUUAGGGGUGGGUUAGGGUUGUGGCACACCAGCUCAGGCUAGAGCUGCCGCAGGUCACCUCCUAUUUAUUUUGCCCUUCUUGCCUGUGAGGACUGCGGUCUUUCACUGUCGCUGCUCUUUACCAUUUCUGCACCACCUUGGUGACCUGAGCAGGAAGAUGUGCCACUUCCUAGCAGGAGCAAGGCCUGUGCGGAAAAAGCGCUGCUCCCUGCCACCUGGCUGAAGACGCCAGGAGCCUGUCCUGGCGACUCAGGCGCCGCCUUGCUGCUGAGCUGGCAUUCUGUGGUCUUCAACAGUGAGGGGCUGGGCUGGGAAGUCCUGCGUUUCAGUUGAGCAUGUGAGCGUCAAGUCCUGCUUUCUCAGUUGUUCCAUUGCUGGGCCCCACCAUUCAUCCUGUCUGAAGGUCCUGGGUUUGGUGUGACCAGUCGGCGGCCAGCGGGUGGGGUUUCCGAGUGGGUGGCAGCGUUCCCCGGCAGCCGGGGAUGGGCGUGUUUCACUGACCAGGCCUGUGGAGCGUGCUCAGCCUAACCUUGGAGCACAUUUGUAACUGCAUACAGUGUUUUCAAUUUGUAGAGAAUAGCUAGAAUAUGCUAUUAAAGUUGUGAAACGUGGAG